rnacentral:tRNA from 1 species
GCCGCAGUGGCCUAGUUGGCUAGGGCGCGAGACUCAUAAUCUCGAAGUCGGGGGCUCGAAUCCCCCCUGCGGCA